rnacentral:tRNA from 2 species
GCGGGAAUAGCUCAGUUGGUAGAGCAACGACCUUGCCAAGGUCGGGGUCGCGAGUUCGAGUCUCGUUUCCCGCUCCA